rnacentral:rRNA from 1 species
GCAGUCGACGGUACAGGAAGAAGCUUGCUUCUUUGCUGACGAGUGGCGGACGGGUGAGUAAUGUCUGGGAAACUGCCUGAUGGAGGGGGAUAACUACUGGAAACGGUAGCUAAUACCGCAUAACGUCGCAAGACCAAAGAGGGGGACCUUCGGGCCUCUUGCCAUCGGAUGUGCCCAGAUGGGAUUAGCUAGUAGGUGGGGUAACGGCUCACCUAGGCGACGAUCCCUAGCUGGUCUGAGAGGAUGACCAGCCACACUGGAACUGAGACACGGUCCAGACUUCUACGGGAGGCAGCAGUGGGGAAUAUUGCACAAUGGGCGCAAGCCUGAUGCAGCCAUGCCGCGUGUAUGAAGAAGGCCUUCGGGUUGUAAAGAAUUUUCAGCGGGGAGGAAGGGAGUAAAGUUAAUACCUUUGCUCAUUGACGUUACCCGCAGAAGAAGCACCGGCUAACUCCGUGCCAGCAGCCGCGGUAAUACGGAGGGUGCAAGCGUUAAUCGGAAUUACUGGGCGUAAAGCGCACGCAGGCGGUUUGUUAAGUCAGAUGUGAAAUCCCCGGGCUCAACCUGGGAACUGCAUCUGAUACUGGCAAGCUUGAGUCUCGUAGAGGGGGGUAGAAUUCCAGGUGUAGCGGUGAAAUGCGUAGAGAUCUGGAGGAAUACCGGUGGCGAAGGCGGCCCCCUGGACGAAGACUGACGCUC